GACGAACGCUGGCGGCGUGCUUAACACAUGCAAGUCGAGCGGUAAGGCUCCUCCGGGAGUACACGAGCGGCGAACGGGUGAGUAACACGCGAGUAAUCUGCCCUUCACUUCGGGAUAACCACCGGAAACGGUGGCUAAUACCGAAUACGACUAGUCUUCGCAUGAGGUGCUGGUGGAAAGUCUUUUCGGUGAAGGAUGUGCUCGCGGCCUAUCAGCUUGUUGGUGGGGUAAUGGCCUACUAAGGCUUCGACGGGUAGCCGGCCUGCGAGGGUGACCGGCCAGACUGGGAAUGAGGCACGGCCCAGACUCCUACGGGAGGCAGCAGUGGGGAAUAUUGGACAAUGGGCGAAAGCCUGAUACAGCAACGCCGCGUGAGGGAUGACGGCCAUCGGGUUGUAAGCCUCUUUCAGUGCCGACGAAGCGCCCUGUCGGGUGGUGACGGUAGGUACAGAAGAAGGACCGGCCAACUACGUG
rnacentral:rRNA from 1 species